AGCGCCUUUAAUUCAGUCCCGUGAGACUGGCAAGGUAACGUGAAUCGAGGUUCGCGACUCUAGGAAGGUAUCCGUAUGACUAUACGGAAGUCUUUUCAUGUGCGCAGCCGUCAUCUUCUUCAUGUGUGGAUUCCACUCCUUGCCUGUUUCAGGCAAGGAGUUUUUUGU
rfam:Bacillus sp. FJAT-27264 scaffold1, whole genome shotgun sequence.